rnacentral:rRNA from 1 species
GAUGAACGCUGGCGGCGUGCUUAACACAUGCAAGUCGAACGGAAAGGCCUCUGCUUGCAGGGGUACUCGAGUGGCGAACGGGUGAGUAACACGUGGGUGAUCUGCCCUGCACUUCGGGAUAAGCCUGGGAAACUGGGUCUAAUACCGGAUAGGACAAUGGUUUGGAUGCUGUUGUGGAAAGUUUUUCGGUGUGGGAUGAGCUCGCGGCCUAUCAGCUUGUUGGUGGGGUAAUGGCCUACCAAGGCGUCGACGGGUAGCCGGCCUGAGAGGGUGUACGGCCACAUUGGGACUGAGACACGGCCCAGACUCCUACGGGAGGCAGCAGUGGGGAAUAUUGCACAAUGGGCGCAAGCCUGAUGCAGCGACGCCGCGUGGGGGAUGACGGCCUUCGGGUUGUAAACUCCUUUCGCUAGGGACGAAGCGUUUUUGUGACGGUACCUGGAGAAGAAGCACCGGCUAACUACGUG